CCUACGGGUGGCUGCAGUGAGGAAUAUUGGUCAAUGGACGAGAGUCUGAACCAGCCAAGUAGCGUGAAGGAUGACUGCCCUAUGGGUUGUAAACUUCUUUUAUAUGGGAAUAAAAUGUUCCACGUGUGGGAUUUUGUAUGUACCAUAUGAAUAAGGAUCGGCUAACUCCGUGCCAGCAGCCGCGGUAAUACGGCGGAUCCGAGCGUUAUCCGGCUUUAUUGGGUUUAAAGUGAGCGUAGUUGGCUUGUUAAGUCAGUUGUGAAAGUUUGCGGCGCAACCGUAAAAUUGCAGUUGAAACUGGCAGUCUUGAGUACAGUAGAGGUGGGCGGAAUUCGUGGUGUAGCGGUGAAAUGCUUAGAUAUCACGAAGAACUCCGAUUGCGAAGGCAGUUCACUGGACUGCAACUGACACUGAGGCUCGAAAGUGUGGGUAUCAAACAGGAUUAGAGACCCUGGUAGUC
rnacentral:rRNA from 1 species